rnacentral:lncRNA from 1 species
UUCAUACCCAACUUAAGAACCAUUUGUAUACCAUUAUUCAAGAGACUUAGGAAGAAUCCUCCUCCUUGGGAUGAUUCAAUGACCCAAAGUGUUUUGCAAUUAAAGAAAAUAUACCCAACUUAAGAACCAUUUGUAUACCAUUAUUCAAGAGACUUAGGAAGAAUCCUCCUCCUUGGGAUGAUUCAAUGACCCAAAGUGUUUUGCAAUUAAAGAAAAUAGUUAAAAAAAUUACCCUGUUCAGGAAUACCUGAUCCUAG